UGCGUCCUCGUCUGCCCGCCUCCGCCGAGGGGGCACUCACGCGAGAAGCCCCAGCCUCCGACGCGGCCCUUCCACUUCCCGAGGCUGGGAGGCUUGAGCGGAUGGAGCUGGGGUCCUCGGGCUAAGUGGGUAGAUUCCAGCGGUCCCGCCCACACGGGGCUGGGCGUUGCUGCCGGGAGUUCGCUGCAGCGAAGGAGGGCCUCGAGGCUCUUGGGUUGAGAUCUUGGUUGCAGAUGCUCGGCAGAAAACGAGCUAGCGCUUUCUUGCGAAGUGGGAAACCGAGUAGCUUUUUUCUCCUCGAGUUGCUGCUUCUCUGGCAAGUUGGCAAAAUUCACUGCACAGUCAAGUUGUAGAGGGCAAGGUAUUUACAAUAUGGAUUAAACCCAAGCCCAGAGAAUCUAGUAGAGGUCUCUAUACUGGCUGUUGGUUCUUUUUAAAAAGAAAUAAAAAGAAUUAAGUUUUUAGUAGCUUCUAAUUUACAUCUAAAUUUUCAUGACAAAAUGAAAUGACAGUAAGCCCCACCAACCCCUUCUCAGGUGAUUCUCUGGAUGGGUUUUAGGAGAUUCGGAGGACUUAAAAUUACAUGCAAAGUUCUGUGAGCAUAUGUAUUUCCUUAAAUUCAUUAGCCUUUAUCGUAUGUCAAAUGGGGUUAAAACUCAAAUAAGAUUGAAAACACCAACACUUUUAGAAGAACUCAUAGGUCAAGCCCCUAGCUCCUACUUGGAGUUGAAUUGUAGUGCAAAUUCCCACUUAUCCAGUGUUUGUAAGUGUAUGUUUUGACAGCAGUCUACAUGAAUUACCAAAUUUCAAGUUAUAAAAAAAUAAAAUGUCAUACGAAAACAUCAUUUUCUUCUGAAUGCAGAUGACACUUUAGAAUCUUUCGCAUGCUUCUGGUGCAAGAGCACCAGCUGCUUUUGGGAUCCAGGGCAGUCCUUCUCUUUUUAAUACCCACAAUAUUCCUGCAGAGCUGGAGCCCUGGGAGUCAGGUUAGGAAACCUGGAUCAGAGAUCCCAUAGUUCCCUAGACCCAGAAUAUUCAAUAACCAGGAUAAUGGAGGAAGUUUCAUGAAGGUUGCUUCCUUAAUCCCAAAUAACUUAAUCCACUCAGUUUGGGAAUAGUUUAUUUGUUGUUUUUACCUUUAGUUUGUUACAUUGCCUAAAAUUCUACUAAUGAGAGAUGGAAAUCAAUAAAGCAAAUAUUUCAAGAAUGCAGUCACUCUUUAGUAUAGAUUUUGCACAUAAGAUUCCAUUUAAGGAAUGAGGAUAGAUGUUUUCAAAACAAGAUGAGGCAAGAGCAUGGAUUUUUUGGGGGGUAUUUACAGUGAACUUUGUCAGGAAAAGAUGUAGUUCUGCACCCCAAUUUAAUUUUACUCUUUUGUAUGCUAAGUACCUAGGGAGAGUAAUGAGAGGACAACAAAAACUACAGGGUGCUUUUAAGAUACAUCCUUAAAUUCUGUGAUAUGCUUCCCAUCAGUAGGUAGAGCUUAAUUCCCCCUCCCAUUGAAUGUGGGCUGCUCUUAAUGAAUAGCUUGUGGUCCAUAAUGAACAGAAUAUGGCAGAAGUAUCAGUGUGUGACUUAUAAGACGAGGUCAUAAAAGGCACUGCAGCUGCCUUCUUGUUCUCACUCUUGGAUCACUGGUACUGGGGGAAGUCAGAGCUACCACAUCGUGAGGAACUCAAGCAGACCCAUGGAAAGGCCUGUGUGAUGAGGGACUGAGGCCUCCUGCCAACAGCCAGAUGAGUGACUCAUAUUAUAAGUGGAUCCUCCAGCCCCAGGAGAGCCUUCAGGUGACUGCAGCCUGGGUAAUGCUGACUGAAACCUCGUGAGAGAUCCUGAGCAGAACCACCCAGGAGGGGAUGAAAGCUAAUGGAUGUGUAUCAACAAGGGUUAGUGCUGUGAGACCCAACUAUGGGAAAGAGAAGAAAGACCAGAAAUAGAUUGCCCAAGGACAGGUGGUUGCCUUCUUGGACAGGGAGGGGAUCAAAGAGAAGAUCCCUGGCCCUGGAGACCAUCUACCCUGUCACCAACCUUGGAGGAACCGGGGAUUGAAUCCAGGAGCUCCUGCAUGCUGAGCACACACUCUGCCACCGAGCUGUACUCCCCCCUCUACGUUGACUAUUUUACUGUGCUUCAUUUUACUGUGUGUGUGUUUGUCUGUGCACAGUGUGUGCAUGUGUACACACGCGUGUAUAGACUUGUGCAUGUGAGCAGUGAGGGACCUGGAUUGUUGUAGUUCGUUAAAGUCACGUUCAGACAGAGAGAUCCUGGUGACCAGAAGAGUCAUUCAGGUAAGGCAUUCACCUUAGGUGAGGUCACUGUGCCUGAGAGUCAGAAACUUGGUUUUGUUGGCAUCCUAAGAAUGCAUUAAUUUCUCAUUAACCUGGAUCACAGAAACUUAUAAAUACUAAGCAGAAUAUGGUGGUUAUGUAAGAAGGUUACAUAUGUUUCAGAGAUCCCUACUGAAGUAUGUGGGGAUGAAAUGACUAAGCUCUAGCAUUUGCUUUAAAAUAUUUUAGCUUUUAAAA